AAGGAAGCUGCGCUAGAGAUUAAGAGAAAAAACGCAAAAGCGCUCCAUCGACCCUUCAUUUGUUCAAUCACCAUCAUCUUCCGCGGCCUUUCUCCUUUUCGUCUACCAUCAUCAUCAAACUCCCUCACCAUCACGUUUUCCUCUUCUCAACAAACCCACCGCUUCCUUCAUUCUGCUAUCAUACGAACCGUGACUCCGCUAUAA